rnacentral:misc_RNA from 1 species
AAAGUCGUAACAAGGUUUCCGUAGGUGAACCUGCGGAAGGAUCAUUAACAAAUUUUCGGCACUAGUCGAACACCCUUACUUUUCUUGUUUUUACUGAUGCGUUUGGUUGGGUUUCUUGGGGUGUAAAACAAUAUGAAAUCAGAACUGCCAAAGAAGUGUCAACAAAAUCCAAAAAAAGGUCAAUUUUGGCCUUCCUUUUUUUCAAAAGGUUUACUUUUUGGGGGAAUAAAAUCACCAUUUGUUUGCAUUUGGUGUGCCAACAAAAACUAAACCUUUUAAAUCUUGGGAUAAUUUUUAACCAAGUUUGAAAUUGACUGUUGUUUAUACAAUUUUUUACCACUUUUGUGUGUAAAGAAUGAAAAUAAUCACCACUUUUGACAAUGGAUCUCUUGGCUCUU